rnacentral:rRNA from 1 species
CUACGGGUCGCACCAGUGGGGAAUAUUGCACAAUGGGCGCAAGCCUGAUGCAGCCAUGCCGCGUGUAUGAAGAAGGCCUUCGGGUUGUAAAGUACUUUCAGCGGGGAGGAAGGGAGUAAAGUUAAUACCUUUGCUCAUUGACGUUACCCGCAGAAGAAGCACCGGCUAACUCCGUGCCAGCAGCCGCGGUAAUACGGAGGGUGCAAGCGUUAAUCGGAAUUACUGGGCGUAAAGCGCACGCAGGCGGUUUGCUAAGUCAGAUGUGAAAUCCCCGGGCUCAACCUGGGAACUGACUCUGAUACUGGCAAGCUUGAGUCUCGUAGAGGGGGGUAGAAUUCCAGGUGUAGCGGUGAAAUGCGUAGAGAUCUGGAGGAAUACCGGUGGCGAAGGCGGCCCCCUGGACGAAGACUGACGCUCAGGUGCGAAAGCGUGGGGAGCAAACAGGAUUAGAUACCCGCGUAGUC